rnacentral:rRNA from 1 species
GAACCGUGCGAACGUUAUUCGGAAUCAUUGGGCUUAAAGGGCGCGUAGGCGGCGGUGUAAGUUGGAAGUGAAAUCCCAUCGGCUCAACCGUGGAAUCGCUCCCAGUACUGCAUCGCUCGAGGGGGAUAGGGGUCCGCGGAACUACCGGUGGAGCGGUGAAAUGUGUUGAUAUCGGUGGGAACGCCAGUGGCGAAAGCGGCGGACUUGACCCUUCCUGACGCUGAGUGCGCGAAAGCUAGGGGAGCAAACGGGAUUAGAUACCCCGGUAGUCCUAGCCUUAAACGUUGGGUACUGAGUAGAAAAGGGUCCGAUACCCUCUUCUGCUGGAGCGAAAGUGUUAAGUACCCCGCCUGGGGAGUAUGGUCGCAAGGCUGAA